GACGAACGCUGGCGGCGUGCUUAACACAUGCAAGUCGAACGGAAAGGCCCUGCUUUUGUGGGGUGCUCGAGUGGCGAACGGGUGAGUAACACGUGAGUAACCUGCCCUUGACUUUGGGAUAACUUCAGGAAACUGGGGCUAAUACCGGAUAGGAGCUCCUGCUGCAUGGUGGGGGUUGGAAAGUUUCGGCGGUUGGGGAUGGACUCGCGGCUUAUCAGCUUGUUGGUGGGGUAGUGGCUUACCAAGGCUUUGACGGGUAGCCGGCCUGGGAGGGUGGACGGCGACAUGGGGACUGAGAGACGGACCAGACGCGUACGGGAGGCAGCAGGGGGGAAUAUUGCACAAUGAGCGGGAGCCUGAUGCAGCAACGCCGCGUGCGGGAUGACGGCCUUCGGGUUGUAAAACGCAUUAGCCUGUGACGAAGCGUGAGUGACGGUAAUGAGUAAAGAAGCACCGGCUAACUACGUG
rnacentral:rRNA from 1 species